rnacentral:rRNA from 1 species
AACUUUCAGCAAAGGAUCUCUUGGCUCUCACAUCGAUGAAGAACGCAGCGAAGCGCGAAAUGUAGUGUGAAUCGCAGAACUUGUGAAUCAUCGAAUCUUUGAACGCACAUUGCGCCUCCCGUCACAGGGAGGCAUGCCUGUCUGAGCGUCAUUU